AGAGUUUGAUCCUGGCUCAGAAUCAACGCUGGCGGCGUGCCUAACACAUGCAAGUCGCACGAGAAAGUGGAGCAAUCCACGAGUAAAGUGGCGCACGGGUGAGUAACACGUGAAUUAUCUACCUCCGAGUGGGGAAUAACCUGGAGAAAUCCGGGCUAAUACCGCAUAACACUUACGAGUCAAAGCAGCAAUGCGCUUGGAGAGGAGUUCGCGGCCGAUUAGUUAGUUGGUGGGGUAAUGGCCUACCAAGACGAUGAUCGGUAUCCGGCCUGAGAGGGCGCACGGACACACUGGAACUGAAACACGGUCCAGACUCCUACGGGAGGCAGCAGUGGGGAAUUUUGCGCAAUGGGGGAAACCCUGACGCAGCAACGCCGCGUGGAGGAUGAAAUCCCUUGGGAUGUAAACUCCUUUCGAUCGGGACGAUUAUGAC
rnacentral:rRNA from 1 species